UGCGCGGUAGGACAGUUCGGAAGUCCGCCGGGCUCAUAACCCGGAAGUCGCAGGUUCAAAUCCUGUCCGCGCAACCA
rnacentral:tRNA from 1 species